GCAAUGACUUAGAGCAUCUGCACGUCGCAUACGCCUCCAAAAUGCCAACACCCAAGUGCUUUCUGCCCGUACAAUGGGGCGUAUGAACAAUGUGCGACUUAUUAAUUCACCACACGGACAUGGACAUGGACUGUGGGUGGAAUACGUGGACCGCCCACAGGCAGCCGCCCAUCCACUUGGCGUGCGCACAACACGGUAUCUAUGACGUUGAGUUGAGAUUACACACGAAAACUGGUGGAAAUGCAUUUGGACAGUAGGCUGUAGGCCUUACAUCCGCCAUUGAUUUAUGGUUAUUGAUAGAAAAAUCGCGCCAUGUGCGAAAGUGAGAUUAUGGCAUAA
rnacentral:sRNA from 1 species